AACUUCUCGUCUUGAUUAAUUUAGUUACUUCUUUUUAAAAGAGAGAGAGAAAAACUCAAACUUCUCGUCUUGAUUAAUUUAGUUACUUCUUUUUAAGAGAGAGAGACGAGAAGUUUGAGUUUCUCAUAACAUACUCCAUCUUACUCAAAGCUAGUAGUUAUAUUUUUGUCCUGUUUUUUUUUUAUCUUCAAAUUAAAUCUGUCCGAAUUCACGAAUUUCAUUUACUUCUUUGGAUAUUACGAUUACGAACGCCAUCUUUCAAGUUUUAUUUUUUACGUUCAAAUUAAAUCUGUCUGGAUUGACUUGUAGUUGAGUUAGUUUUUGCAUCUUAAGAAAAAAUAGUAAACUAUUUAGAUUCAAAAGUAGGUCGGUCGAUCUUUAGUCCUAUGAUGUGUGUUAAGUGUUGAUGGAUUGGAAGAAAUGAAGCUUUUAUUAAAUAUACGUUACGCAGCAGUAAAUUGUGUACUUUUGUGAAUAAAAUCCCGGUGGGUUUACUUAAAUCAGA